CGGGGUAUAGCGCAGUUUGGCUAGCGCACCUGCUUCGGGAGCAGGGGGUCGGGGGUUCAAAUCCCUCUACUCCGACCA
rnacentral:tRNA from 1 species